rnacentral:rRNA from 1 species
UACGAAGGGGGCUAGCGUUGCUCGGAAUCACUGGGCGUAAAGGGUGCGUAGGCGGGUCUUUAAGUCAGGGGUGAAAUCCUGGAGCUCAACUCCAGAACUGCCUUUGAUACUGAGGAUCUUGAGUUCGGGAGAGGUGAGUGGAACUGCGAGUGUAGAGGUGAAAUGCGUAGAUAUUGGGAGGAACACCAGCGGCGAAGGCGGCUCACUGGACCGGUACUGACGCUGAGGCGCGAAAGCGUGGGUAGCAAACAGG